rnacentral:rRNA from 1 species
UACGUAGGGGGCUAGCGUUAUCCGGAAUUACUGGGCGUAAAGGGUGCGUAGGUGGUUUCUUAAGUCAGAGGUGAAAGGCUACGGCUCAACCGUAGUAAGCCUUUGAAACUGGGAAACUUGAGUGCAGGAGAGGAGAGUGGAAUUCCUAGUGUAGCGGUGAAAUGCGUAGAUAUUAGGAGGAACACCAGUGGCGAAGGCGGCUCUCUGGACUGUAACUGACACUGAGGCACGAAAGCGUGGGGAGCAAACAGG